AUUGAACGCUGGCGGCAGGCCUAACACAUGCAAGUCGAGCGGAUGAAGGGAGCUUGCUCCUGGAUUCAGCGGCGGACGGGUGAGUAAUGCCUACGAAUCUGCCUCGUAGUGGGGGAUAAUGUCUGGAAACGGGCGCUAAUACCGCAUACGUCCUGAGGGAGCAAGUGGGGGAUGUUCGGACCUCACGCUAUCAGAUGAGCCUAGGUCGGAUUGGCUAGUUGGUGGGGUAAAGGCCUACCAAGGCGACGAUCCGUAACUGGUCUGAGAGGAUGAUCAGUCACACUGGAACUGAGACACGGUCCAGACUCCUACGGGAGGCAGCAGUGGGGAAUAUUAGACAGAGGGCGAAAGCCUGAUCCAGCCAUGCCGCGUGUGUGAAGAAGGUCUUCGGAUUGUAAAGCACUUUAAGUUGGGAGGAAGGGCAGUAAGUUAAUACCUUGCUGUUUUGACGUUACCAACAGAAUAAGCACCGGCUAACUUCGUG
rnacentral:rRNA from 1 species